UUAAAAAUAGAAUUAACAUAUUAUAUAGCAAUCUCACUUCUGGGUACAUAUUCAAAGGAAAUGAAACCAGCAUCUUGAAAUGAUAUCUGCAUUCCCCUGUUCAUUGCAACAUUAUUCACAACAGCCCAGAUAUGGAAACUACUUCUGUGUCUAUGUAUGAACAGAUAAAGAAAAUGUGAGAUAUAUACACAAUGGAAUAUUAUUCAGCCAUGAGAAAGAAGGAAAUUCUGUCAUUUGCAACAACAUGGAUGGACCUUGAAAGCAUUAUGCUAAGUGUGAGCGGUGCAUAACUGGAAGAUGAAAUGAGAUACUGAGUUUCUAUUUUGGGGAGAAAACCAAUGAGUUAUCACCAAGAAAUGACAGCACAGGGACCUAACAAGGAAACUUAGGACACCAAACCACUCCCCACAUCACAAAGAUUGAAUUGUCCUGAUAUCUUUAACUUCUAUGCCAAGAAAGUAUUUUCUGGUGUCUUUUGUUCCUUGCAUUCUUGUGAACCUUCUCACAAUAUUCAUAUCCUUCAUGGUUGGGAUAUAGAACUUUAGCCAAGUCUAUACGAUGCAAAAAUUCCAACAUAAUACAAAGGCCAAAAAUUCAUAUAUUUCCAAAUACAUGUACUCUGGGUAUGUGUGUAUGCACAUGUGUAUAUAUAAGUGUUUAUAUGAAUAUAUUUGACAUUGCAGAAAAAGAGCAUCUGGCAUUUUCAUCCAGAUGUUUGACAUUAUGUAGUUACUAUAAUCCAGCCAGCUGUGUGCUUCAGGUCACUUUUUUUUUUUCUUUUUUGUUCAUUGAUGGGUGUAACAUGCAGAUAAUCAAAAGAUUUGUUGCAAUCACAACAGAGAAAAUCUAUCAUUCCUCCUUGAUCUACCAUAUUAGAUUAGCUUAAAAGGAUUUGGUUUUAAGUAGAACACAUUAGUCAUUAUCCACUAAGUACCUUCUUGUCUUCAAGUUAUUUGCAAAUUGAUUAUAUCAGGGUUUCUGCCAGUAUUUUCUUAAGUAUCCAAGUGAAGGUUACUUGUCUGUUCUGCUUGUUAUAUGACUCGUGACUUCAUUUAGUCUUCUACUGGUGACAAAUUUCCCUGUUAACACUUCAAGAUAAAACCUUUAGGGAACCUGACAUAUGAAUAAAAAGAAUGCAUUAAAACCAA